UUUCACAGUGAUGGUUGACCAGGGCUCCCUGACCUAUACAUACCUCUGCUAUGGGGGUGAUGGCUACUCUAAGUGUCUGAGUGAUU